CCAUGCCUACAGUCCCAUCGAGGCGCCCGUCCCUCUCAGUGCUCCUUGCUGGGACCCUGAGGAGGGGGGACAGCCACUGACUGCCCUCAGCAGCCCCCCAGGCACCUCUCGAUGAGCUGGCCGAGGAUUGAAGUGAUGUGGAGAGCCCUGUGUGCCCUGGUGGUACGGGGGAUGUAAUCAGGAGGCAAGGAGAAGCAAAGGAGGAGAGUAUUGCCUCAUCUUCUGCUCACAACAAGCCCAGGCCACCUGGCAUGGGAGGGGUAUGGGCAUAGCAGAGAGCGUGUGAAUCACCCUGGACGUGCAGCUCAGUGCAGAGAUCUCUGGAGUAAUCACCCCACCUUUCCAUCCUGAGCUGCAGAACUCAACAUGUAUAAGUCAGUAUUCGCUAAGAUACCAUCCCAGCAUGGAAAGAUUCUCAGCUGCAUCUUGGCUUUGGGACAAACCGGCUCACAAAGGGACCAGUGGAAGUCACUGUUUAUGCGAAUUUCAGGUGAGCUUUAGAUGGGUCAGAUCCCAGAGUUCCUGUGCCCAUCUUUAGCAGGAAAUCACCCACUCUCCAAUAAAAGCUUAAGACUUCUUUUUUUUUUUUGGCACAUGACAAGCAGAGGAUUCGCUGUGCUUUACACAACCACCCUACUUCCUUUCACUUUAAACUGUAAAACGAGCCCACGGCUUCGCAGGUGCUGGAGGCGAGGUGCAGGUCCUCCCUCAGCAGAGCCGGGCUGCCGGGGGCUGGGCGCCAGAUCCGCGCCCGCCUCAGGGGCAGUUACUGACGGUAACGGCCAGUGCUGACAUUACAUAACCCUCAGUUUUGGGAUGGCACGUUAUCACACCCGCGGCUGAAUCCUCGACCGAGGUGUGAAGAGCCAAUAUUCAUGGCAGCGGGCCAUUGUUGGUGCGCGAUGGCGCACAGAGAUGGAAUUCUGCCCACACAUCAGCGCUCA